CCGGCGCACGGGUGAGUAACGCGUAUGCACCUGCCCGAUACCGGGGUAUAGCCCAUGGAAACGUGGAUUAACACCCCAUAGUCCUGCAUGGGUAAAUGUUCAAGGUAUCGGAUGGGCAUGCGUCCUAUUAGUUAGUUGGCGGGGUAACAGCCCACCAAGACGAUGAUAGGUAGGGGUUCUGAGAGGAAGGUCCCCCACAUUGGAACUGAGACACGGUCCAAACUCAUACGGGAGGCAGCAGUGAGGAAUAUUGGUCAAUGGACGUAAGUCUGAACCAGCCAAGUCGCGUGAGGGAAGACUGCCUAUGGGUUGUAAACCUCUUUUAUAAGGGAAGAAAAGUUCUACGUGUAGAAUGAUGCCUGUACCUUAUGAAUAAGCAUCGGCUAACUCCGUGCCAGCAGCCGCGGUAAUACGGAGGAUGCGAGCGUUAUCCGGAUUUAUUGGGUUUAAAGGGUGCGUAGGCGGUUUAUUAAGUUAGUGGUUAAAUAUUUGAGCUAAACUCAAUUGUGCCAUUAAUACUGGUAAACUGGAGUACAGACGAGGUAGGCGGAAUAAGUUAAGUAGCGGUGAAAUGCAUAGAUAUAACUUAGAACUCCGAUAGCGAAGGCAGCUUACCAGACUGUAACUGA
rnacentral:rRNA from 1 species